rnacentral:lncRNA from 1 species
UUUUGGGGUUUCAGUCUUAGCUUCUGAAUCUAUGGUGCGGCCUGAUCGAUCAAUCGAUCAAUCGGUCCUGGGGUGUGUGUUUGAUAUGAAACUAGUCCGUCUUAACUGAGACCAGAGUUAGAGUGGUUAGUGUGGCAAUUCCUUGACCAUAUAGAUUUCCCCGUACCCUUGGCCACCCCUCAGAUAUUGAGAGUGAACACUACCAAGACGGCCGGACCCUCUGUGAGGAGACAGUGUUUCCCAUGGAGCCUAGAAACUUACUCAUGGACCAGGCAACGAGGCUGGCUGCUCAGGAGGACCCUGGGAUCCUCUGGCUUGUGCCUCUCCUCCACAAGAUGAAAACGUGUACUUCCCGCAGUGAGAAAUCACCCCACCCACUCAGGAAAGCAAGGAGUCCAUUCUUUCAGCUCUUUACUGAGGCUCUCACAACUGCCU